CUCUGACUGGGGAGACCCUCCAUCCGGGUAUAACUCUGACUGGGGAGCCCCUCCAUCCGGGUAUAACUCUGACUGGGGAGCCCCUCCAUCCGGGUAUAACUCCGACUGAGGAGCCCCUCCAUCCGGGUAUAACUCCGACUGGGGAGACCCUCCAUCCGGGUAUAACUCUGACUGGGGAGACCCUCCAUCCGGGUAUAACUCUGACUGGGGAGACCCUCCAUCCGGGUAUAACUCUGACUGGGGAGCCCCUCCAUCCGGGUAUAACUCCGACUGAGGAGCCCCUCCAUCCGGGUAUAACUCCGCCUGAGGAGCCCCUCCAUCCGGGUAUAACUCUGACUGGGGAGACCCUCCAUCCGGGUAUAACUCUGACUGGGGAGACCCUCCAUCCGGGUAUAACUCCGCCUGAGGAGCCCCUCCAUCCGGGUAUAACUCUGACUGGGGAGCCCCUCCAUCCGGGUAUAACUCUGACUGGGGAGCCCCUCCAUCCGGGUAUAACUCCGCCUGAGGAGCCCCUCCAUCCGGGUAUAACUCUGACUGGGGAGCCCCUCCAUCCGGGUAUAACUCUGACUGGGGAGCCCCUCCAUCCGGGUAUAACUCCGACUGAGGAGCCCCUGCAUCCGGGUAUAACUCCGACUGAGGAGCCCCUCCAUCCGGGUAUAACUCUGACUGAGGAGCCCUCCAUCCAGGGGCAGCAAGAUGGAAGAAAAAAGACGACGUAAGACCCCAAAGCCCAUAGACCUUUGGAGGACAACAGGACUUACACACAGAUACAGGGGUUGAACUCCAGGCCUUGCACAUACUAGGCAAGCUCUCUACUACCGAGCUGCAGCCUAAGGCCAAGAAACUCGCCAUGUGGACACAAGAGCAAAGAGUCUUGCCAUGGGCAGCUCCAGGUUCCUCGCCUCUCCUGCCACUGGCCCCGCUGAUCUCCACAGGGCACUCACCAGGUUUUAUUUCCAGGAGUCGCAGCUUCGGGUCCUCUGGUGGGUGCAAUCGUCGCUUCUUGCGCCAGCAGCGGGCAGGGGUGGUAAAUACAUUAGAGAUUUGUAUCUCCACCCCACUGAUUCUCAGGAAAUCUAAGGUUGGGGUCGGAAGGUUUAAGAAUCGGCUUGUGUCAGAUGGAUAGAAGGAUAAGUGAGUCAAAUAAGUUAUCUUGGGUUCCCCGGACAUGGAGACAGUGCAGCUGUGACCUCCCUCUGAGAGAAAGCAUCCACAGAGAUGGCUCCACAUUUCUGAAGUGACUCACUUGAGGAAGAUGUUGUCUGUGGCUUUGUCAUUCCUGAAUAGACGCAUUUACUCUGUGCCCCGUCCAGACACUCAAACUGCUGGAGGUCCCCCCAGGAUCUUAGGAGCCACUCUUCCAUGUCACAGAACAAGUCCUGGAAAUCAGCACUCAUUUGAGGCUAGUGACUCUAAUCGGCUGAAAUGGCAAGGACCUGAAGAACUCAGAAGUUCCAGAGCACGACGUCCACACCAGCCCUCUAAUCUGAAGGGAGGUAGGCCUUCAUAAGAACUCAAUCACUGCUUUUAAGGAACUUUAUAGGUUGUUUUAAUGCCUACUAAGAACAUCUGGAGGCCUGAACAGCAUCUACUAGCUGCUUGCCUGUGGUCGCUGAUGUACCAAGACUGGUUUAAUAGCCUUUCCUGUAGGAUCCUAAAUCCCGUGUAUUCCCCCAAGGUAAUAUAAUUAAUUGCCUGCAUACUAGUAUCUCCCCUGCUGGCUUUGAAAGAGCUGGGAUGGCAGGAAUCAUGCCAUCUCUAGUGUCCCCUAUAUUUAGCACACCAUACUUGGCAGGCACAUCUAGGAAUCAUCAUAUAAACUCAACCAGAACUAAACAAGACUCAGAAAUUCAA